GAAGAGGGAGAACCAAAAUGGAGGCUGACGUGGUGUUAUCAAAGAGACUCUUGUGCUGCGCGACCCCUGACUGUAACCAAGCGUCAUUCUCUCUGAGACGUUCCCUCAGAGCUUGUUCUGACAGCCCUCACCUCCAGUGACGAGGUCCACUAACUUUUCCACACGAGGGGUUCUCUGCUUCCCUCCAUCUGAGCUGCGCAAUUCCACCAGGCCUUUUGCUCCUCUUCAGUCGGGUGCUUUGGAGGUGAGCAGAACCACACCCAACUAGAACAUCUCUUAAGUAUCUACUGAGUGUCAGGACCUGGGUAAGAUGGGACCCCACAGAUAAUCCCCUCUCGACGUUUUUUUGCUCAAAGACCUCAUAACUUGAGAAUCAUUGUCGUAACUUCAGACUGGUUAAAACAUCUUUCUAAUUGCUUGUGGUUGAGCUCUAUGAAGAAAUCAGUCCUCUGCUCUAACAUUUAGAUGCCACUG
rnacentral:lncRNA from 1 species